UACUUGGUUGAUCUCUGCCCAAGGAAGCACACUUAGGUCAUAGAUUAAGCCAUGCAAGUGUUAGUUCAGGGUAACGAAACUGCGAAUAGCUCAUUAAUACGCUCAGAAUCUAUUUGGCGGCGACCAACAGGUCUUAAAUGGAUAGCAGCAGCAACUCUGGUGCUAAUACAUGCGAUUGUUUCUCCAGAUGUGAAUUAUGGAGGAAAAGUUGACCUCAUCAGAGGCACGCCAUUCGACUGAGUGACCUAUCAGCUUGUACUUAGGGUCUUUACCUAGGUAGGCUAUCACGGGUAACGGGCGGUUACCGUCGGACUGCCGGAGAAGGCGCCUGAGAGAUAGCGACUAUAUCCACGGGUAGCAGCAGGCGCGAAACUUUCCCACUCGAGACUUUCGGAGGAGGUAAUGACCAGUUCCAUUGGUGCCUUUUGGUACUGUGGAUAGGGGUACGGUUUUCCACCGUACCGAAACCUAGCAGAGGGCCAGUCUGGUGCCAGCAGCUGCGGUAAUUCCAGCUCUGCGAGUUUGCUCCCAUAUUGUUGCAGUUAAAACGCCCGUAGUCUGAAUUGGCCAGCAAUGGUCGUACGUAUUUUUACGUUCACUGUGAACAAAUCAGGACGCUUAGAGUAUGGCCACAUGAAUGACUCAGCGCAGUAUGAAGUCUUUGUUUUCUUCCGAAAACAAGCUCAAUGAGAGCCAUCGGGGGUAGAUCUAUCUCAUGACGAGUGGUGGAAUACUUUGACUCAUGAGAGAGAAGCUGAGGCGAAGGCGUCUACCUAGAGGGUUUCUGUCGAUCAAGGGCGAGAGUAGGAGUAUCCAACAGGAUUAGAGACCCUGGUAGUUCCUACCUUAAACGAUGCCGACAGGAGUUUGUCAUUUGUUAAUGGCAGAAUCUUUGGAGAAAUCAUAGUUCUUGGGCUCUGGGGGAACUACGACCGCAAGGCUGAAACUUGAAGGAUUGACG
rnacentral:ncRNA from 2 species